rnacentral:rRNA from 1 species
GUUGUAUGGUCAAGUAAUGAAGUGCACAUGGUGGAUGCCUUGGCAGUCAGAGGCGAAGAAAGACGUGAUAGCCUGCGAUAAGCGUCGGUGAGGUGGCAAUAUCCUGUGACCCGGCGAUUUCUGAAUGGGGAAACCCAACCAACAUAAGUUGGUUAUUACACAGUUUACUGUGUAAGGCAAACCGGGAGAAGUGAAACAUCUCAGUACCCCGAGGAAAAGACAUCAAAUGAGAUUCCGUAAGUAGCGGCGAGCGAACACGGAGGAGCCGAUCAAUUUUACAGUAGCAAAAUGGCGUGGGAAAGCCAACCAUAGUAGGUGAUAGUCCUGUAUGCGAAACUGUUUAAGCGACAUAUUAAGUAGGGCGGAACACGAGAAAUUCUGUCUGAAGAUGGGGGGACCAUCCUCCAAGGCUAAAUACUCCUGACUGACCGAUAGUGAACCAGUACCGUGAGGGAAAGGCGAAAAGAACCCCUGUUAGGGGAGUGAAAUAGAACCUGAAACCGUGUGCAUACAAGCAGUCGGAGCGGACUUGUUCCGUGACGGCGUACCUUUUGUAUAAUGGGUCAGCGACUUAUAUUCUGUAGCAAGGUUAACCGAAUAGGGGAGCCGUAGGGAAACCGAGUCUUAAUAGGGCGAAUGAGUUGCAGGGUAUAGACCCGAAACCGAGUGAUCUAUCCAUGAGCAGGUUGAAAGUGCCGUAACAGGCACCGGAGGACCGAACCCACUGUCGUUGAAAAGCCAGGGGAUGACUUGUGGAUAGGGGUGAAAGGCUAAUCAAACUCGGUGAUAGCUGGUUCUCCCCGAAAGCUAUUUAGGUAGCGCCUCGGACGAACACCAUUGGGGGUAGAGCACUGUUUCGGCUAGGGGGUCACACCGACUUACCAAACCGAUGCAAACUCCGAAUACCGAUGAGUGAUAUCCGGGAGACAGACGGCGGGUGCUAACGUCCGUCGUCAAGAGGGAAACAACCCAGACCGCCAGCUAAGGCCCCAAAUUCCUAGUUAAGUGGGAAACGAUGUGGGAAGGCACAGACAGCUAGGAGGUUGGCUUAGAAGCAGCCACCCUUUAAAGAAAGCGUAAUAGCUCACUAGUCGAGUCGGCCUGCGCGGAAGAUGUAACGGGGCUCAAACUAGGAGCCGAAGCUGCGGAUUUAAUUGUUUCAAUUAAGUGGUAGGGGAGCGUUGUGUAAGCCUGUGAAGGUGCACUGUAAGGUGUGCUGGAGGUAUCACAAGAGCGAAUGCUGACGUGAGUAACGACAAAACGGGUGAAAAGCCCGUUCGCCGGAAGACCAAGGGUUCCAGUCCAACGUUAAUCGGGGCUGGGUGAGUCGACCCCUAAGGCGAGGCCGAAAGGCGUAGUCGAUGGGAAAUCGGUUAAUAUUCCGAUACUUGUUUAUGAUGCGAUGGAGGGACGGAGAAGGUUAUGCCAGCCUGGCGAUGGUUGUCCAGGUGGAAGGAUGUAGUUAGACUGAGUAGGCAAAUCCGCUCGGUUAUUAAUGAGAUCUGAUAGCAAGCCAGUUUACUGGCGAAGUGGCAAAUACCCUGCUUCCAGGAAAAGCUUCUAAGCGAUAGUCAUAAACGAAUCGUACCCGAAACCGACACAGGUGGUCAGGUAGAGAAUACCAAGGCGCUUGAGAGAACUCUGCUGAAGGAACUAGGCAAAAUGGUACCGUAACUUCGGGAGAAGGUACGCUGCCGAUGGUGAUGAAACUUGCUUUCUGAGCUGUUGGCAGUCGCAGAUACCAGGCUGCUGCAACUGUUUAUUAAAAACACAGCACUCUGCAAACACGAAAGUGGACGUAUAGGGUGUGAUGCCUGCCCGGUGCUGGAAGGUUAAUUGAUGGGGUUAGCGUAAGCGAAGCUCUUGAUCGAAGCCCCAGUAAACGGCGGCCGUAACUAUAACGGUCCUAAGGUAGCGAAAUUCCUUGUCGGGUAAGUUCCGACCUGCACGAAUGGCAUAAUGAUGGCAGCGCUGUCUCCAGCAGAGACUCAGUGAAAUCGAAAUCGCAGUGAAGAUGCUGUGUACCCGCGGCUAGACGGAAAGACCCCGUGAACCUUUACUACAGCUUUACAUUGAACUUUGACCUAACUUGUGUAGGAUAGGUGGGAGGCUUUGAAGCAGAUACGCCAGUAUUUGUGGAGCCAACCUUGAAAUACCACCCUGGUUAUGUUGGGGUUCUAACUUAGAUAUAACAGUAUCAAGGACAAUGUAUGGUGGGUAGUUUGACUGGGGCGGUCUCCUCCUAAAGAGUAACGGAGGAGUACGAAGGUGCGCUCAGAACGGUCGGAAAUCGUUCAAAGAGUAUAAAGGCAAAAGCGCGCUUAACUGCGAGACCCACAAGUCGAGCAGGUACGAAAGUAGGUCUUAGUGAUCCGGUGGUUCUGUAUGGAAGGGCCAUCGCUCAACGGAUAAAAGGUACUCUGGGGAUAACAGGCUGAUACCGCCCAAGAGUUCAUAUCGACGGCGGUGUUUGGCACCUCGAUGUCGGCUCAUCUCAUCCUGGGGCUGAAGCAGGUCCCAAGGGUAUGGCUGUUCGCCAUUUAAAGAGGUACGCGAGCUGGGUUUAGAACGUCGUGAGACAGUUCGGUCCCUAUCUACCGUGGGCGUUGGAAAUUUGAGAGGAUCUGCUCCUAGUACGAGAGGACCAGAGUGGACGAACCUCUGGUGUUUCGGUUGUCACGCCAGUGGCAUUGCCGAGUAGCUACGUUCGGAUGGGAUAACCGCUGAAAGCAUCUAAGCGGGAAGCCCACCUCAAGAUGAGAUUUCCCUAAAGAGCCGUUGUAGACUACGACGUUGAUAGGUUGGGUGUGGAAGUGUAGUGAUACAUGUAGCUAACCAAUACUAAUUGCUCGUUUGGCUUGACCAUACAACACCCAAG